GAAACCACCGGUAUCGGAUUAUUGGGCGUAAGAGCUCGUAGGCGGUUUGUCGCGUCUGCUGUGAAAUCCCGAGGCUCAACCUCGGGCCUGCAGUGGGUACGGGCAGACUAGAGUGCGGUAGGGGAGAUUGGAAUUCCUGGUGUAGCGGUGGAAUGCGCAGAUAUCAGGAGGAACACCGAUGGCGAAGGCAGAUCUCUGGGCCGUAACUGACGCUGAGGAGCGAAAGGGUGGGGAGCAAACAGGCUUAGAUACCCUGGUAGUCCACCCCGUAAACGUUGGGAACUAGUUGUGGGGUCCAUUCCACGGAUUCCGUGACGCAGCUAACGCAUUAAGUUCCCCGCCUGGGGAGUACGGCCGCAAGGCUAAAACUCAAAGGAAUUGACGGGGACCCGCACAAGCGGCGGAGCAUGCGGAUUAAUUCGAUGCAACGCGAAGAACCUUACCAAGGCUUGACAUAUACGAGAACGGGCCAGAAAUGGUCAACUCUUUGGACACUCGUAAACAGGUGGUGCAUGGUUGUCGUCAGCUCGUGUCGUGAGAUGUUGGGUUAAGUCCCGCAACGAGCGCAACCCUCGUUCUAUGUUGCCAGCACGUAAUGGUGGGAACUCAUGGGAUACUGCCGGGGUCAACUCGGAGGAAGGUGGGGAUGACGUCAAAUCAUCAUGCCCCUUAUGUCUUGGGCUUCACGCAUGCUACAAUGGCCGGUACAAAGGGCUGCAAUACCGUGAGGUGGAGCGAAUCCCAAAAAGCCGGUCCCAGUUCGGAUUGAGGUCUGCAACUCGACCUCAUGAAGUCGGAGUCGCUAGUAAUCGCAGAUCAGCAACGCUGCGGUGAAUACGUUCCCGGGUCUUGUACACACCGCCCGUCAAGUCAUGAAAGUCGGUAACACCUGAAGCCGGUGGCCUAACCCUUGUGGAGGGAGCCGUCGAAGGUGGGAUCGGUAAUUAGGACUAAUCCUACAGGGGGGAUACCCAAAAAAUUUAAAAUAAG
rnacentral:rRNA from 1 species